AGCUAGUUAGGUGCAAUUGAUAGAAAUGUCAUCGCAUACUUUUUAGAAAAGUAAAGAUUUAGUGAAGAGCAGGAGCUAUA
rnacentral:sRNA from 1 species